UCACGCUUUCCUCGGUUUUUCGUGUGAUCAAAUCCCCAAAUCAUAAUUUCAUAAAAAAAAAGCCAAUAAAUUGGGGUUCAAAUUCGAACUUGUAAGAAUCGGUAGUAUUUUCUCAUUGCUUCUUUCUCUUCCAUUCUCUUUAGUGCGGUUGUGUGUAUGCUUAAUGUGUGAGAUUUAAGAAGCAGAAAAGAGCAACGCCAUCAAAAAAGUUAACUAAGCGCCAGGAUCAAUAUGAAGAGAAAUCAUAUUCACAUUUAUCAUGAGAAGAAAAGGAAAAAUAUUGACAAAUCAAGAAGGAAGCUAAAUGAUGCUGCAUUUCACGGCAAAAGUGAUUAUUCCUUGGAUAAAGACUAAAUUAGCAUGAGGAAAGACACAAAGUGAUGCACACCUUGAUUUAAGAAUAGAACCAUGUCACUGUCGAUGAUAGAAGUUAUCCUAUGAGCAAUGGUAAUGACUGUGCAUUCUGAAAAAUGUUGCUUAACUGUUUGCUGAAUAAUAUUAUCUGUGGCUGUGUCAACAGAUGCAGUAGCUUCAUCAAGCACCAAGAUCUUGCUUUUCUUCAGUAGAACACGGCCUAGGCAGACCAACUGCCUUUGACCCAUACUCCAAUUUUCUCCAUUCUCAGUCACUGCAAAAACUCAUAGCGAUAAGUAACACUUCCUUACUACAUUUAGACAUAUAAUUGAAACAUGCUAAAUCAAUAUUCAAAGUUUUGAGAAGUCAAACCUAUGGAGUCCAGCUUCCCUUCUUUUUUCCUUACAUCAUCUCCAAGUUGGCACAUAUCUAGAGCCUGGAAUGAUUCUUAUUAGAAUUUAACAUGUAUCACCUGCACUAAAUAGACAAGUUUCUCAUAGUUUCAAACAAAACCAAAUUACCUCCCAAAUCUGUUCAUCUGUGUACUCUUCCAGUGGAUCCAGGUUGGUUCUUAUAGUCCCUUCAAACAUCGUUGGAUCUUGAGGAAUAAUGCUGACUCUAGACCGCAAAUCAUGAAUUCCAAUCAAAGAUAUGUUAAUGUUAUCUAUUAAUAUUUUUCCAUCCAUAGGUUCAAUAAGGCGGAGAAGUGUUUGCACAAGAGUUGAUUUUCCACUUCCUGUUCUUCCCACAAUACCAGUUUUUGAUCCAGCAGUAAAAGUGCAAGUAAGA